GGUAUCCUGUCUGAAUAUGGGGGGACCAUCCUCCAAGGCUAAAUACUCCUGACUGACCGAUAGUGAACCAGUACCGUGAGGGAAAGGCGAAAAGAACCCCGGCGAGGGGAGUGAAAAAGAACCUGAAACCGUGUACGUACAAGCAGUGGGAGCCCCACCACUAAGCCAGUGGUGAACUCCACAUACGCAUCCUUUGCUGAGGAGACGGUUAACGGAGCGAAAGCGACGUUCAACCUCAAAACAAGCAGAGGGGGCUUAGUGGUGGGGUGACUGCGUACCUUUUGUAUAAUGGGUCAGCGACUUAUAUUCUGUAGCAAGGUUAACCGAAUAGGGGAGCCGGAGGGAAACCGAGUCUUAAUUGGGCGUUAAGUUGCAGGGUAUAGACCCGAAACCCGGUGAUCUAGCCAUGGGCAGGUUGAAGGUUGGGUAACACUAACUGGAGGACCGAACCGACUAAUGUUGAAAAAUUAGCGGAUGACCUGUGGCUGGGGGUGAAAGGCCAAUCAAACCGGGAGAUAGCUGGUUCUCCCCGAAAGCUAUUUAGGUAGCGCCUCGUGAAUUCAUCUCCGGGGGUAGAGCACUGUUUCGGCUAGGGGGCCAUCCCGGCUUACCAACCCGAUGCAAACUGCGAAUACCGGAGAAUGUUAUCACGGGAGACACACGGCGGGUGCUAACGUCCGUCGUGAAGAGGGAAACAACCCAGACCGCCAGCUAAGGUCCCAAAGUCAUGGUUAAGUGGGAAACGAUGUGGGAAGGCCCAGACAGCCAGGAUGUUGGCUUAGAAGCAGCCAUCAUUUAAAGAAAGCGUAAUAGCUCACUGGUCGAGUCGGCCUGCGCGGAAGAUGUAACGGGGCUAAACCAU
rnacentral:rRNA from 1 species